GGGCCAGAGUAAGAACCAGGCUAACCCCCCUCUCCUUUGCUGCUGUGAAUGGACUCUUCUACAGGCCGCCUGUAAACCCACUGUACUUUUCAAAAGUAAUAACUCCAUAAGUAUUGGUCGAAUCAAUAUGCAGUUUUCGCCUGUCUGAUCCUUGACCCAAAAUACAUUAGUACUCCAAAAGGCACAGGUUAGUUCUGUCCAGUUUUCAGUUAUAAAGCUGAUACACAUGCACACACGCACACAGAGGCUACUUGGCUUCUAUAAUAUAGAUGUAGAUGAGCUGCCACUGUGACAUGAUGUAAUGGAAAAGUGAAGCCUCUUUUCCAAAUAUCCAGGUUGAGACACAGAGUAGAGCCGUGGAAUAGUUGUGCAGUAGCAGUAGAAGUGUCCAGGUGGCAUUUGACAGAUUUUGACCAGAUUUAACCUCCCUACUUGUCUGGAAAUUGCUGUGAUUUGACCAAAUUAGGGCAUCACAAGGUAAAUUUGAACAUAGGCAAGUAGUACAUGCAGAAGUGAUUUGGAAUACAAUACGCUGAUAAGAAAUUAUUGUGCCUUAAUGAUGCUAAAAUACUAGUAAGCACUAUAGCUCUAAGAGAUUUUCACAUUUUUGCUCUAUAAAUUGCACUAAAUUUGCAAGUACUGCAUCUGUUAGUGAAUGUUGAGGCCUUUAUGUCAUUAAAAGUGGCUUAAUGAGAGGUUGUCAUGGACGUUGAACUUCAUCAUACUGAACAUGAACACUCAUCCUCUCCACAGUAAUAAACUAUUCCCAGUAAUAAUCUUUUCAGGAACAUGGAAUAGGUACUGGUGCAUGCAUGCAGAAUCUGAAGUGUUUGAACGUUUUACAGAAAAACAUACCUUGGUCCAGAACCUGUCAAGACCAAAAAAUUUUCCCUUGACCUGAUGUGUGUUGUGUGUCAUAUUUUACAAGCUGAAAAGAGAGGAUAGAAAAGUUUCUAACAAUGGAGACAUCUGGGAAACUUCUGGACAAAUAAUAAUAAUAUGCAGUAGUUUUCCAACAAAAAUUAGUGUGUGCUGGUGAUUUGGUCAUCCAAUGAGUUUCAGAAAUGCUAGAAAAGAGCACAAGAAAGUGGAGGCAGACAGGGAUGAUCCUUUUCAUUGUGCAUCUACCUCUGUUGAUAACACAUUCAUGACUAUAAUAUUUUUCUCAACCUUGGUGUAAAAGGGGGCUGACUUAAUGGAAAUGUUUCUAGAGAUAGAGUUAAUUUGGUGGGAAGGUCAUACGAUGAAAGAAGAGCUGAGUUUGAAAUCUCACUACAAUAUGUGAGACUAGUGGUGUUGACCUUCAAGUCAUGUGACUGUGGUUUAGUUUAAGAGUUUUAGGGUCUAAUGUUAGUGUUUAGUUUUUACAGGUUGCAUUUAAGGCUCAGAAAUCAUAUUGGUUUCAUUUGUGAAAAUUAUUUAGCCAAACAAAACAUGAGUGAAUUAGACUUUUUAUUUAUUUAUUUAUUUAUUUAUUUAUUUAGCUACUGAGCUUAGUUUCAGUGAUAAUCCAAAAGCCAUUGGAACAAUCCACUUGGCCUUUGCUGCAGGGAACUGGGACAAUACUAGCUUCAAGUUGGGCCUAUAAAAAUACCUCACCCUUCUGUAGUCUCUUAUAGUCAGAUCUAUCUCUACAUUCCAUAAGCUCCACAACUGUAGAUGCAUCUGACACCCUUCACUAUCCUUCUACAGGAAUAGGGGUCCAAGUUAUGUGGGUUGUUUGGUUAGUUCUUGCUAGUUUAGUGCAGGAUCCUGUGACAUUGUCCUGUAUUUUUUUUUUUGUAUCUUGGAAGUUGUGGUUCUUUCGUGCAGAGCUGUGAACUGUCAAAGCAACAAUACACAGAUCACUGAAGGAAGAUGAAUGACAGGCCUGACACUGUACACAGGAUGUACUCACUGUUACUCCAGAGGAAUACUUCCAUCAGACCAGACUAUCCCUGCAGCACCUUAGGACCUUAUUACCUGAAAUCAGCUCAAAAUGACACAGUAAAAUGUAUUGGCUCAUACAUGAGGUUGUCCUGACUACAGACUUGCAUAAGCUUUUACUGUAUGAAGGCAGAUAUUCAAGCUUUCUUUUACAAAGGCAACCUGGUCAAGAGGUCAAGCAGCACGCACUAUACCAUAAUGAAAAACAGUUUAAAAGAUCAGUGAUAUCAAUACAUUUAGAAAUGAAA